CUAAUAUUUUUUUUAUCUCACUUAAAAAUUUUAAAUAUAAAAUUAUUUAAACACCAGCUUUUGAAGAAUAACGAUUAUUUCGUAUUAUUUAAUAUGGUAUCAGAGUAGGAGAUCCUGUUAUCGAGUAACGCACUAACGCUAGGCUUCUAACAUUGUUAAUUAAUUCCUUCCGUUUAGUUCAGUCUGUAUUAUGGACCUACAAAAAGUCUCGAGUUCAGACAUGAUAAAAGUGUUAAAUAUAAAAAUAUUUAUACACCUUUUUUAACAGCUUUAACUUCUAGCUAAUAACAGCCGCUUCGUAUUAUUUCACAAAAAAGAGAGGGCGAGGGAAAAUGUUUUUAUCUUAAAAAGUUGACCUAAUUAAUAAGAUAUUUUUUUGAAUUUGUUAUAUAUUUUUUUUCUAAUUUGCGUACAUAAUAAUUAUCUGAUGAACUAAAUGACGGGGGUAACAAACUAAAUCAUAAAGUGAAAAAUAAGAGAACCGAACCUAAAAGCUUUUGAAAU
rnacentral:lncRNA from 1 species